GCCUGUAAUCACACCACCUUGGCUUGUGAUCGUGUCAGAUCUCACAACAUAAGCAGAAUCAGGCAGCUUCAGUACUUGGAUGGGAGACGUCUAAAUGAAAUCAAAGGAGCUACAGAGA
rnacentral:rRNA from 1 species